UACGGGGGGGGCAAGCGUUGUUCGGAAUUACUGGGCGUAAAGGGUUCGUAGGUGGCCUGCUAAGUCAGACGUGAAAUCCCUCGGCUUAACCGGGGAACUGCCUUUGAUACUGUUUGGCUUGAGACCGGUAGAGGUAAGUGGAACUGCGAGUGUAGAGGUGAAAUUCGUAGAUAUUCGCAAGAACACCAGUGGCGAAGGCGGCUUACUGGACCGGUAUUGACGCUGAGGCGCGAAAGCCAGGGGAAGCAAAGCGGG
rnacentral:rRNA from 1 species